rnacentral:rRNA from 1 species
UACGUAGGGGGCAAGCGUUGUCCGGAAUUAUUGGGCGUAAAGCGCGCGCAGGCGGUCUAUUAAGUCUGGUGUUUAAGCCCGGGGCUCAACCCCGGUUCGCAUCGGAAACUGGAAGACUUGAGUGUAGGAGAGGAAAGUGGAAUUCCACGUGUAGCGGUGAUAUGCGUAGAGAUGUGGAGGAACACCAGUGGCGAAGGCGACUUUCUGGCCUAUAACUGACACUGAGAGACGAAAGCUAGGGGAGCAAAUGGG